rnacentral:rRNA from 1 species
GNNAGUCGAACGGCAGCACGGGGGCAACCCUGGUGGCGAGUGGCGAACGGGUGAGUAAUAUAUCGGAACGUACCCAAGAGUGGGGGAUAACGUAGCGAAAGUUACGCUAAUACCGCAUACGAUCUAAGGAUGAAAGCAGGGGACCGUAAGGCCUUGCGCUCCUGGAGCGGCCGAUAUCUGAUUAGCUAGUUGGUAGGGUAAAAGCCUGCCAAGGCAUCGAUCAGUAGCUGGUCUGAGAGGACGACCAGCCACACUGGGACUGAGACACGGCUCAGACUCCUACGGGAGGCAGCAGUGGGGAAUUUUGGACAAUGGGGGCAACCCUGAUCCAGCAAUGCCGCGUGAGUGAAGAAGGCCUUCGGGUUGUAAAGCUCUUUUGUCAGGGAAGAAACGGUUUGUUCUAAUAAAGCAGACUAAUGACGGUACCUGAAGAAUAAGCACCGGCUAACUACGUGCCAGCAGCCGCGGUAAUACGUAGGGUGCAAGCGUUAAACGGAAUUACUGGGCGUAAAGCGUGCGCAGGCGGUUAUGUAAGACAGAUGUGAAAUGCCCGGGCUCAACCUGGGAACUGCAUUUGUGACUGCAUGGCUAGAGUGUGUCAGAGGGGGGUAGAAUUCCACGUGUAGCAGUGAAAUGCGUAGAGAUGUGGAGGAAUACCGAUGGCGAAGGCAGCCCCCUGNGAUAACACUGACGCUCAUGCACGAAAGCGUGGGGAGCAAACAGGAUUAGAUACCCUGGUAGUCCACGCCCUAAACGAUGUCUACUAGUUGUCGGGUCUUAAUUGACUUGGUAACGCAGCUAACGCGUGAAGUAGACCGCCUGGGGAGUACGGUCGCAAGAUUAAAACUCAAAGGAAUUGACGGGGACCCGCACAAGCGGUGGAUGAUGUGGAUUNAUUCGAUGCAACGCGAAAAACNUUACCUACCCUUGACAUGGUCGGAACCCUAAGANAUUUGGGGGGNGCUCNAAAGA